rnacentral:rRNA from 1 species
GGGGAAUAUUGGACAAUGGGCGAAAGCCUGAUCAACCCAGGCGGGGUUUGUGAGGAAGUUCUUGGGAUGUUAAGGAACUUAAAGUGGGGGGGAGGGGUUGUGGAUUAUUACUCGGAAUUUUGAAGGUUACGGACAGAAUAAGAACGGGCUAACUUCUGGCCAGCAGCCGCGGUAAUACGAAGGGUGCAAGCGUUAAUCGGAAUUACUGGGCGUAAAGCGCGCGUAGGUGGUUCGUUAAGUUGGAUGUGAAAGCCCCGGGCUCAACCUGGGAACUGCAUCCAAAACUGGCGAGCUAGAGUAUGGCAGAGGGUGGUGGAAUUUCCUGUGUAGCGGUGAAAUGCGUAGAUAUAGGAAGGAACACCAGUGGCGAAGGCGACCACCUGGGCUAAUACUGACACUGAGGUGCGAAAGCGUGGGGAGCAAACA